rnacentral:misc_RNA from 1 species
AUAACAUUCCGCAGCUGUACCAAUUUCAGGUGCGAGGGGGAGAAAAUGAUUACCAAGGCAAUGAAUUUGAGCCACCUUCUAAUGUUCAGCCUAUUAACAUUCCGGUGCAGGCGGAGGCAAAUGAUGGCCAAGGAAAUGAAUUUCACCCAACUUAUCAAAUGGGUCAACCUAAUAACAUCCCAGCUUCUUUCAUCAUUCCAGAGCCUCUCAUGCUACCACCUCUGAUCAAUUCAUCCCCUGAACCUGAGUUUGACAUAGGUGAAUUUUUAAUGGACAUUGAGGAGGGACUUUAAAGUGGGAGUUAAACUCAGUUACUAGGUGUUUA